CCUCACAUAUUUCGGGUUUCGCGACAUCGUAACCGUUUUUCGACUGGUUCGUUGUCGACGAAACCUGCAUAGUGUGGGG
rnacentral:pre_miRNA from 1 species